UACGGGGGGGGCAAGCGUUGUUCGGAAUUACUGGGCGUAAAGCGCGCGUAGGCGGCUUUGUAAGUUAGAGGUGAAAGCCUGGAGCUCAACUUCAGAAUUGCCUUUAAGACUGCAUCGCUUGAAUCCGGGAGAGGUGAGUGGAAUUCCGAGUGUAGAGGUGAAAUUCGUAGAUAUUCGGAAGAACACCAGUGGCGAAGGCGGCUCACUGGACCGGCAUUGACGCUGAGGUGCGAAAGCGUGGGGAGCAAACAGG
rnacentral:rRNA from 1 species